GUGGGGUCCUUUCUAGUUUCCCUCCCAAACUCCUCUGGGGUGUCCCAAGCUAUGGGUCUUUCUACCGUGUUAGGGCUGAGUGUCUGUUUGUGGCUUACCUGGGUCUCCCGUUCUGCUGGAGGAUCGUCCUCGAUACGGGUCUGUGAGCGGGUGGUCACGGGACAAGCAGCAGCAGUCGUGGGUAGAUAAGCUGAAGCCAGAG